CCCGCCUGGGGGAGUACGGCCGCAAGGCUAAAACUCAAAGGAAUUGACGGGGGCCCGCACAAGCGGCGGAGCAUGCGGAUUAAUUCGAUGCAACGCGAAGAACCUUACCAAGGCUUGACAUGUUCCAGACCGGGCCAGAGAUGGUCUUUCCCCUUUUGGGGCUGGUUCACAGGUGGUGCAUGGUUGUCGUCAGCUCGUGUCGUGAGAUGUUGGGUUAAGUCCCGCAACGAGCGCAACCCUCGUUCCAUGUUGCCAGCGGGUUAUGCCGGGGACUCAUGGGAGACUGCCGGGGUCAACUCGGAGGAAGGUGGGGAUGACGUCAAAUCAUCAUGCCCCUUAUGUCUUGGGCUUCACGCAUGCUACAAUGGCCGGUACAAUGGGUUGCGAUACUGUGAGGUGGAGCUAAUCCCUAAAAGCCGGUCUCAGUUCGGAUUGGGGUCUGCAACUCGACCCCAUGAAGUCGGAGUCGCUAGUAAUCGCAGAUCAGCAACGCUGCGGUGAAUACGUUCCCGGGCCUUGUACACACCGCCCGUCAAGUCACGAAAGUUGGUAACACCCGAAGCCGAUGGCCUAACCACCUUGUGUGGGGGGA
rnacentral:rRNA from 1 species